AUACGGAGGGGGCUAGCGUUGUUCGGAAUCACUGGGCGUAAAGCGUACGUAGGCGGACUGAUCAGUUGGGGGUGAAAUCCCAGGGCUUAACCCUGGAACUGCCUUCAAUACUGUCAGUCUUGAGAUUGGAAGAGGUGAGUGGAAUUCCUAGUGUAGAGGUGAAAUUCAUAGAUAUUAGGAGGAACACCAGUGGCGAAGGCGGCUCACUGGUCCAAUACUGACGCUGAGGUACGAAAGCGUGGGGAGCAAACAGGAUUAGAAACCCCAGUAGUCC
rnacentral:rRNA from 1 species